rnacentral:rRNA from 1 species
CUACGGGACGCAGCAGUAGGGAAUCUUCGGCAAUGGACGGAAGUCUGACCGAGCAACGCCGCGUGAGUGAAGAAGGUUUUCGGAUCGUAAAGCUCUGUUGUAAGAGAAGAACGAGUGUGAGAGUGGAAAGUUCACACUGUGACGGUAUCUUACCAGAAAGGGACGGCUAACUACGUGCCAGCAGCCGCGGUAAUACGUAGGUCCCGAGCGUUGUCCGGAUUUAUUGGGCGUAAAGCGAGCGCAGGCGGUUAGAUAAGUCUGAAGUUAAAGGCUGUGGCUUAACCAUAGUACGCUUUGGAAACUGUUUAACUUGAGUGCAGAAGGGGAGAGUGGAAUUCCAUGUGUAGCGGUGAAAUGCGUAGGUAUAUGGAGGAACACCGGUGGCGAAAGCGGCUCUCUGGUCUGUAACUGACGCUGAGGCUCGAAAGCGUGGGGAGCAAACAGGAUUAGAUACCCCCGUAGUC